rnacentral:lncRNA from 1 species
UUGCCUUCUCUCCUUUAUCAGUGAGCCAGAUUUGCACAUGAAGGCCACUGCAGUCCCUGGGAGGCUGAUAGCAUUUAUAGUCAGCAACAGCAAAAGAAAACCAAAGAUGCACACAAUGACUUGCUGACAUUAAGUGUCCCCCCCCUUCAAUCCCAGCCAAUUCCUUCUCUCAUCCUCGCCGGAUUCCUCUCUGCUCCACUUAGGAUUUCAACACACAGCUGGAGAACCACGGCUUGUCUUCAGAAUCUGAAAAGUAGCCUCAAGUGUUUUUAACCGGGAGAUGUAUUAGACAUCAAUACAGGCACCAAUCAAUGUGUUAAAAGGAAAAAAAACUAUAAAGCUUUCAUGUGGCGAAAUCAUCAAAACGUAAUGAUUAUUUAUUUUAAAAAUGGAUUUUAGAACAAAAUUAUUAAUUUUUGUCGUGGUGAAGCACUAUGAUUAGCACGCUUUCAUCACAGUCAGAAAUUGAAAGGUCUUUUCAAGUUGUAAAGGUUUGAGUAUGCUCUCCUGAUGUCAUGCAGAAGGGAAAAUUAAGUGUUUGAAUUGCGACUGUUUCCUACUGACCAGGCACAGCACCUCUAA